CCUACGGGGUGCUGCAGUGGGGAAUAUUGCACAAUGGGGGAAACCCUGAUGCAGCGACGCCGCGUGAGUGAAGAAGUAAUUCGUUACGUAAAGCUCUAUCAGCAGGGAAGAAACACUGACCUUACGGUCAGCAGACGGUACCUGAGUACGAAGCCCCGGCUAACUACGUGCCAGCAGCCGCGGUAAUAAGUAGGGGGCAAGCGUUAUCCGGAUUUACUGGGUGUAAAGGGAGCGUAGACGGUGCGCGAAGUCUGGAGUGAAAUGCCGCAGCUUAACUGCGGAACUGCUUUGGAAACUGGCGAACUAGAGUGCGGGAGGGGUAAGCGGAAUUCCUAGUGUAGCGGUGAAAUGCGUAGAUAUUAGGAGGAACACCGGUGGCGAAGGCGGCUUACUGGACCGUAACUGACGUUGAGGCUCGAAAGCGUGGGGAGCAAACAGGAUUAGAUACCCCAGUAGUC
rnacentral:rRNA from 1 species